AAGUUUCUCACUUAAUUGGCUUUUAGCAGAGAGCCCAGAACAGCUAACAGGGCCGGAUUUCCCCCAGCGACUCCCUGAGGCCACAUGGUCCUAGCUCCCGCCAUCUGCCUUCAUGCCCCACCCGUCCCACAAAACAACAUGGUGUCCUGUAUUAUUUAUUAAUAGCACAGAAACAGAAACAUGGUCAAUCCAGUUUUUAGCUGUUGGUUAAAGUCGUGUAAUGAAGCAGCUAAUGGGGUGAAACCCGUCAGGAGGGAGAGCCAUUGGUUAUACUGAUAGAGGGAAGACACUGCCUUUUGAUUUUAAUAUCAUCUCAUACAAUGGGUUUGAUGUUGUUUGCUGUGAUUAUUUUGCACUAAUAAACACUUUAAUUGAGCCAC